ACAGUGUCUGGUGGGUAGUUUGACUGGGGCGGUCUCCUCCUAAAGAGUAACGGAGGAGCACGAAGGUUGGCUAAUCCUGGUCGGACAUCAGGAGGUUAGUGCAAUGGCAUAAGCCAGCUUGACUGCGAGCGUGACGGCGCGAGCAGGUGCGAAAGCAGGUCAUAGUGAUCCGGUGGUUCUGAAUGGAAGGGCCAUCGCUCAACGGAUAAAAGGUACUCCGGGGAUAACAGGCUGAUACCGCCCAAGAGUUCAUAUCGACGGCGGUGUUUGGCACCUCGAUGUCGGCUCAUCACAUCCUGGGGCUGAAGUAGGUCCCAAGGGUAUGGCUGUUCGCCAUUUAAAGUGGUACGCGAGCUGGGUUUAGAACGUCGUGAGACAGUUCGGUCCCUAUCUGCCGUGGGCGCUGGAGAACUGA
rnacentral:rRNA from 1 species